AUGGAAGAUUAUUGGGAUAAUGUUAAAUUGGUGGUAGAUGUAUUUGCCAAAGAUUCCCGAAACUUUAGUGCCUUUACGGGUCCUGGAGCAUGGGCAGAUGCAGAUUCGGUAAUUGUUGGAUUGUAUGGUUUGAGUGCGGACCAAGAACGGGCUCAUUUUGGAAUGUGGUCAAUGUUUGCCUCACCAUUGCUGUUGGGUGCAGAUUUAAGAUCAAUAAAAAACGAAUCGAAGGCUUUAUUACAGAACAAAAACAUACUAGCUAUCAAUCAAGAUCCACUUGGAAGACAGGCCACUUUAAAAAUGAAGUUGGCCCAAGAAAAGAUCUAUGUAUUUUUGAAAGGACUAACUGGUGGUAGAACAGCCAUAGCAUUAUUUAAUGCAGAUUACCAUGGACAACCUGUUAGAGCCACGUUCAUGCUGAAUCAACUUGGAUUAACAAAUGGAAAUGGUUACAGCUUCACAGACGGAUUUAGUGGCAUGGCUCGUGGAAAGUAUAUGCCUGCAACAGAAAUAAAUAUAGAUGUUAACCCAACUGGGAUAGAUAUAUUUAUAGCAACUCCAGUGUAGAUUUAAGAAAUAAAAAAAGUGACUUAUAGUUGCGUUCAUAAAAUAUUGCUUUUUCGAAAAAAAAAUAAUAAUACCGGCUCCUUAACGCUAACCUAAAUUGUUUUUAUUGGGGAAGAUACAAGAUUACGAUUAGUGAGCACGUACACACUUUUGUGUUUAUCAAGGUGCCCCUGUCUCAUCUUGUACUUUGCUGGGUGGGAAAACACUUGAAAAUAUCCAAAUCUGCCCCUGUUUCUUUGGUGGCAAGCAGUUUUAUUGGAAGGAAUCUUGACAAGGAUCACAUAGUCAACAUACUUACCAAACCAGGUAGAAAUGCGUGUUGUUGAAAUGCGUGUUGUUGAAAUGAAGUAAUCAAAAACGCCAAAUUUGGUCAAAUCAAGAUGCCUUUACCCCAAUCCAGAUCAGUUGAAGAAAUCUGACAAGCUUGCCAACAUUUAUAUCAAUUUUUAUCACAAUCCCACAAGUGCUUUCAGAGAAAAAGUCAAACAAAAAUAUUUAAAUUUCAACCUCUCUUCUGAUCCACCACUAUGGGGUUCCAACCCUUUGGUUUAAACAAAAAGGUUCUUUAUCAUUUAAGGACACGUUUCGACCGUAUAUCAACGAAAUCCAUUCAGCCAUUCGAAAACAGAAGAAUAUUUUAAUAUUCUUCUGUUUUCGAAAUGAUAACCCAAAGCUGCUUCUUAACUGGGUCACUGUUCCCCCCACACACCAUGCAAUGAACUUUAUUUAACCAUAUCUCAAUAAACAUCAUCCGGGCAAUAUACCUAAUUUCAUAGAACUGGAACAUGAAUAAUAGUUUAUUCCGACCGGUUUGAUAUGUUCAGACAUGUUGAGUCUGUAAGUCACACUAAGAGUGUUUUUUGUCAAUAUCGCCAAAAGUAUUGCAGCAGUGACUGACAACAAAAACCGCUCUUAGUAGGCCCGGGGGUUCCCACGGGGUGCUGUAGAUGUCAUUUUAAUUCACUGCAUGCAUGUCUUUCCAGUACAAUGUAUGGUUGGGGAAUUUUCGUUGUGAAUACUUAGAAAUUAAUUUUAUUAACCCAUUGGUCCAAAUUGUCAUCCUGAUUAAAUUGGCAUUACAUAGUUUCUAAUAUGUUUUCUGUCCUAAAUAAUGUGCCUAUUAUUGAG